rnacentral:lncRNA from 10 species
AUUUCUAAUUAACUAAAAAAGUGAGGCGGUAGGUAGUUUACCAUUCUUUGAGCUGAAGUCACAGAUAUUCUUUUCACUCUGCUUCUAUUACUUCAUACUCAAUAAGCCAAAGCAUAUUUAAUAAUCCCUGUUAUCACGAUAAACAUUUAUUUAUGUUCAGGCUGUAGGAGGCAUGGCUCCUAAUAUUUUAUUCUCUUAAAUACAAAAAAAUUAGCCAGGCAUGGUGGUGUGCUCCUGUAGUCCCAGCUACUCGGGAGGCUGAGGCAGGAGAAUGGUGUGAACCUGGGAGGCUCUGUCCAUCAGGCUGGUUUCCACCUGGUCAAUUGGCUUAGACUAGAACACCACGGCAUCCCUAACCUCAGGUAGGUCGUAUCUCGCACCAAUGCUCAGCUCCAAUUCCCCUUCCUCUGUGUACAGAGCAUGUGGGACCCUGCCCACCAGCCUCUCUGCUCUCCUCCCCGGCUCCCUUAGGCUUUCUUCUUUUGAACCUCUAACCUGUAUGUCUUAUAGCCCUGAUUCCAAAACCUCCUCUGUAGAUCUUAGCUGCAUGGGACAUACCCAGGGAGCUUGGGAAGGGCACAAUUCUCUUGUGCCUGCUCCCAGGGUCUCUGAAUAGGUCCAGGUGAGGCUGACACUGUGCCUCUUACAGGCUUCCCAGGUAUGUUAUCAUGGGUACUACUGGAGAACCAUGGCCCAAAACCCACCGUUGGCUUUUAGUUUCUUUGUUUUCAUGUACUCACCUGGGGAGCCUGCCAGCCUGAGGGCCCCCUGAGACAUCCUUCUCCUAAAAUUUCUCUGCAGUGACACAAGUAGAGAACCUGCAGGUUGGGAUCUUUGUUAAUAAAUGUUUCAGGCACACAGAACAAAGCGUAGUCUCAGGAGACAUUACGGGCAAUCAGAUUUUGUUGGUUUUUGAUUUUGUUUUUUCUUCCAUAUGAAGGCAGCUGGAAUAAAUGAAGGCAUGGCAGUGGGCUCUCCCACCAGGAUCCAGAAGCCACAGGCCAACUACAGCAGUCCUUCGGCCAUCAGGGAUGCUCACCAUUGUCACAGACGAUGGGAGUCCUGGCACAGACCUUCACACCAUGUCACUCCUGUCUCACCAAGAAGCUUGGAAGGAAAUGUCAGCAGGACUAUAAUUGCUGAGUCCUGGGGACAACAGUGCCACUUCCCAAGAAAAUGGGACUGUUUUCAAGCUGUAAAAUCAAUUGUAAAAGAAAUAGCUCUUG